rnacentral:rRNA from 1 species
AAGAGCUCGCGGCUGAUUAGCUAGUUGGUGAUGUAAGAGAUUACCAAGGCGACGAUCAGUAGCUGGUCUGAGAGGAUGAGCAGCCACACUGGGACUGAGACACGGCCCAGACUCCUACGGGAGGCAGCAGUGGGGAAUUUUCCGCAAUGGGCGAAAGCCUGACGGAGCAAUACCGCGUGAGGGAGGAAGGCUCUUGGGUUGUAAACCUCAAAACUUAGGGAAGAAAAAAAUGACGGUACCUAAUAUAAGCAUCGGCUAACUCCGUGCCAGCAGCCGCGGUAAUACGGAGGAUGCAAGCGUUAUCCGGAAUCAUUGGGCGUAAAGAGUCCGUAGGUGGCAUUUCAAGUCCGCAUUUAAAGACCGAGGCUCAACCUCGGGUAGGGUGUGGAAACUGAAAAGCUAGAGUACAGGAGGGGUAGAGGGAAUUCCUAGUGUAGCGGUGAAAUGCGUAGAGAUUAGGAAGAACACCAGUGGCGAAGGCGCUCUACUGGACAUGUACUGACACUGAGGGACGAAAG